rnacentral:rRNA from 1 species
GUACACUCCUGCGGGAGGCAGCAGUGGGGAAUUUUGGACAAUGGGCGAAAGCCUGAUCCAGCAAUGCCGCGUGAGUGAAGAAGGCCUUCGGGUUGUAAAGCUCUUUUGUCAGGGAAGAAACGGUGAAAGCUAAUAUCUUUUGCUAAUGACGGUACCUGAAGAAUAAGCACCGGCUAACUACGUGCCAGCAGCCGCGGUAAUACGUAGGGUGCAAGCGUUAAUCGGAAUUACUGGGCGUAAAGCGUGCGCAGGCGGUUUUGUAAGUCUGAUGUGAAAUCCCCGGGCUCAACCUGGGAAUUGCAUUGGAGACUGCAAGGCUAGAAUCUGGCAGAGGGGGGUAGAAUUCCACGUGUAGCAGUGAAAUGCGUAGAUAUGUGGAGGAACACCGAUGGCGAAGGCAGCCCCCUGGGUCAAGAUUGACGCUCAUGCACGAAAGCGUGGGGAGCAAACAGGAUUAGAAACCCCAGUAGUCCCAU